rnacentral:rRNA from 1 species
UACGUAGGGUGCGAGCGUUGUCCGGAAUUAUUGGGCGUAAAGAGCUCGCAGGCGGUUUGUCGCGUCUGCUGUGAAAACCCGAGGCUCAACCUCGGGCCUGCAGUGGGUACGGGCAGACUAGAGUGCGGUAGGGGAGAUUGGAAUUCCUGGUGUAGCGGUGGAAUGCGCAGAUAUCAGGAGGAACACCAAUGGCGAAGGCAGAUCUCUGGGCCGUAACUGACGCUGAGGAGCGAAAGCAUGGGGAGCGAACAGG